rnacentral:siRNA from 1 species
GAAAGGAGUCCAUGGCCAGUCUC